rnacentral:lncRNA from 1 species
ACAAGACCAAGUUUUGGGAUUUCGACGCAACUAUAUAUUUUCCAACUCACUUUUAUUUUUGUGGAAACAAUCAUGAUUUUUUGUUGUUGUCAGUAUGGAUCUUUUUUGAAUGAUAAAUACUUUCUUUCGUUAAGUCUUAUCUAGAGUGAAUCUGUGGCCAAUUAUUUUUAUGAUAAUAUAAAUAACUAGUGCGAACACUAAAGAUUCCUGAAGAUUAAAGAAGUCGACGAGUUUGUUCAGUGGAGGAAUCCAAUAUUUUCAUGUGUCAUGUCUGAAUUUAGGUCGUUAAACGUAACGAUUAUUUUUUUUUUUUUAACAUUUAAUGCAACGAUUAUUUUUGUCAAAGAUUUUAUUAUAUAUAGCCAAAGAAAGAUAUAACGAUAAAUGAAAAAAAGGUAUAAAAUAAAUCUUAUUGAUGAAUCAAUUAUUCUUUAACCUCUCAGGAUAUAAGUAGUGAUUCGUUUUGUCAUUCAUAUUAAAUUUUUGGUAAACAUUAUAUAUAAUAAAUAGUUCUAGAAAGAAAUGACUUAUAGCCUAUACGUAGUUCAUG